AGUGAACGCUGGCGGUAGGCCUAACACAUGCAAGUCGAACGGCAGCACAGUAAGAGCUUGCUCUUACGGGUGGCGAGUGGCGGACGGGUGAGGAAUACAUCGGAAUCUACUUUUUCGUGGGGGAUAACGUAGGGAAACUUACGCUAAUACCGCAUACGACCUACGGGUGAAAGCAGGGGAUCUUCGGACCUUGCGCGAUUGAAUGAGCCGAUGUCGGAUUAGCUAGUUGGCGGGGUAAAGGCCCACCAAGGCGACGAUCCGUAGCUGGUCUGAGAGGAUGAUCAGCCCCACUGGAACUGAGCCACGGUCCAGACCCCGACGGGAGGCAGCAGGGGGGAAUAUUGGGCAAUGGGCGGAAGCCUGCUCCAGCCAUACCGCGUGGGUGAAGAAGGCCUUCGGGUUUGAAAACCCUUUUGUUGGGGAAGAAAAGCAGCAGGUUAAUACCCCGCUGUUCUGACGGUACCCAAAAAAUAAGCACCGGCUAACUUCGUG
rnacentral:rRNA from 1 species